rnacentral:rRNA from 1 species
GACGAACGCUGGCGGCGUGCUUAACACAUGCAAGUCGAACGGGAUUUAGUAGACAGAAGCCUCGGCUCAAGAUUACUAAUGAGAGUGGCGAACGGUUGAGUAACGCGUGAGCAACCUGCCUAUGACAGUGGGAUAGCCUCCGGAAACCGGGUUUAAUACUGCAUCAAAUCGUAGAAACACAUGUUUCAACGUUCAAGUAUUUAUCGGUCAUAGAUGGGCUCGCGUCUGAUUAGCUAGUUGGUGAGAUAACAGCCCACCAAGGCGACGAUCAGUAGCCGGGGUGAGAGGAUGAACGGCCACAUUGGAACUGAGACACGGUCGAAACUCCUACGGGAGGCAGCAGUGGGGAAUAGUGCACAAUGGGGGAAACCCUGAUGCAGCGACGACGCGUGAACGAAGAAGGUAUUCGUAUCGUAAAGUUCUGUCCUAUGGGAAGAUAAUGACAGUACCAUAGAAGAAAGCGCCGGCUAAAUACGUG